rnacentral:rRNA from 1 species
CCUACGGGCGGCAGCAGUGGGGAAUAUUGGACAAUGGGCGAAAGCCUGAUCCAGCCAUGCCGCGUGUGUGAAGAAGGCCUUCGGGUUGUAAAGCACUUUCAGUGGGGAAGAAAGCCUUGGGGCUAAUACCCUCGAGGAAGGACAUCACCCACAGAAGAAGCACCGGCUAACUCCGUGCCAGCAGCCGCGGUAAUACGGAGGGUGCGAGCGUUAAUCGGAAUUACUGGGCGUAAAGCGCGCGUAGGCGGUCUGAUAAGCCGGUUGUGAAAGCCCCGGGCUCAACCUGGGAACGGCAUCCGGAACUGUCAGGCUAGAGUGCAGGAGAGGAAGGUAGAAUUCCCGGUGUAGCAGUGAAAUGCGUAGAGAUCGGGAGGAAUACCAGUGGCGAAGGCGGCCUUCUGGACUGACACUGACGCUGAGGUGCGAAAGCGUGGGUAGCAAACAGGAUUAGAUACCCUUGUAGUC